AGUGAACGCUGGCGGUAGGCCUAACACAUGCAAGUCGAACGGCAGCACAGUAAGCGCUUGCUCUUACGGGUGGCGAGUGGCGGACGGGUGAGGAAUACAUCGGAAUCUACUUUUUCGUGGGGGAUAACGUAGGGAAACUUACGCUAAUACCGCAUACGACCUACGGGUGAAAGCAGGGGAUCUUCGGACCUUGCGCGAUUCAAUGAGCCGAUGUCGGAUUAGCUAGUUGGCGGGGUAAAGGCCCACCAGGGCGACGAUCCGUAGCUGGUCUGAGAGGAUGAUCAGCCACACUGGAACUGAAACACGGUCCAGACUCCUACGGAAGGCAGCAGUGGGGAAUAUUGGACAAUGGGCGAAAGCCUGAUCCAGCCAUACCGCGUGGGUGAAGAAGGCCUUCGGGUUGUAAAGCCCUUUUGUUGGGAAAGAAAAGCAGCAGGUUAAUACCCCGCUGUUCGGACGGUACCCAAAGAAUAAGCACCGGCUAACUUCGU
rnacentral:rRNA from 1 species